ACAGGUAAGCAAACCAAGGUCUCUCUCUCUCUGGUACUACAAGUAUAAUGUUUGAGCUGGUGACCAACUGAAUGGCAUGACAUAUUGGCAUGCAAGAAGAAAGGUGGAGUGGGGUCCUUGCUUAGGCAUGGAGGAAAGCAUGAUGAUGGAGUGACAUAAAGUUUAGCAUACAUGACUGAGCAACGAGCAUCGUCAAAAUUUAAUAGGCUCAGCAAUGGACAUGCAUUCACCAAACGGAGCAUUAUUCUUUCUCAUUCACCUGUGUCUCAUCAAUCAAUUUCUCCAAAUGUUGCUCCACAUACUUUUGGAAUCUAAUAAGAUCAACCAUGUCCUUGGUUUGGAAGGACUCAAUGGCAGCUUUGAUCUCCAUGAUUGAUUUCCCAUGAUUCCUGACAUCCUCUUCAAUCUGUUGGAAAUAUGCUGAUCUACAAUGCCCAUAGAAGAAAAUCAAGUGCUAAGUAAGCAAAAACCAUAUUUGUUCUGUUUUUGUUUGGCACUCUGCAAGCAGCAGUAGCUGAAGCAUACCUUUUUGUCAUUUCUGCCAGCGCAUCUGCCAUUCCAUGCUUCCCCCCUGCAGAUCCUCCAACUUUUGGCCUUUUUCUAUCAUGAGGGCCUUUGCCAUGCCAAGUGGAGGAGGAGGAGGUGGUGCAGCUCCAUUUGGUUGUGGCAUAGGAAUUGGUGACACUGGUACAAACCCUUUAGAUGUUGAUACAGGCAGAGGAGAAGUUGCUGUUCCAUUUGAAGGAAGAUUGACAGGUGGUAACAAAUUUUCUGAUGGCAUAGUUGGAGCUUGAUCAGACACUAUUGAUGGAGGUGAUUUUCUAGAUGACAAGUUGAAUGGGAGGUAUUUUAUUUCAAUUGGCCGCAAUUUCUCCACUGCAUGAACUCUGAGAGACAAUAGAAAAGGUGAGGCAUAUGUAGCAUUUGCAAACUCCCCAAUUUCCAUAGAGAAUGAAACUGCAGGAGCGAAUGUUGCUGGAGUAUCUGGAGAAGGACAGGAAUCUCCAAUGGAUUCAAAAGCGUUAUAGAGAUGGUGCAAUACCUGUAACGAACCUGAUCGAAGGAUGUCUCUCCUGUUUCUGGAGUCACAUUAUAGUUUACAAUAUUGGGGUAUAAGUUGUGGAGAUCUUCAACAGUGCCCAUCAUCAACUGCCGGAAGAUCCAAAAUAUGAAAUUUUCAGGAAUAAAUAGAUUUGAGAACUUCCUUGGCUUCAGUAAAAGUAAAUAGAUGAGGACCUCAUUAAUGGGAGCAGAACCAUCACAGGGAGGAAGGUCAAUGAUGUCUCUAAAAGAAUUUUCAAAGUGCCAAAGCUGGAAACUGAGAUUUGAAUUGAAGAGAAAGAGAAGAAUGAAGGGUAAAUUUUUUUAAGUCUGAAAAACUCUCAACUGUUUACCAUU